rnacentral:rRNA from 1 species
GCUUGUCUCAAAGAUUAAGCCAUGCAUGUCUAAGUGUAAAUACGUCUACACUGUGAAACUGCGAAUGGCUCAUUAAAUCAGUUAUCGUUUAUUUGAUGAUCUCUUGUUACAUGGAUAACCGUAGUAAUUCUAGAGCUAAUACAUGCGUCAAGCCCCGACUCACGAAGGGGUGUAUUUAUUAGACUUAAGCCAAUAUUCCUUGUGUCUAUUGCGAUGAUUCAUAAUAACUGAUCGAAUCUCAAAUUUGAGAUAAAUCAUUCAAGUUUCUGCCCUAUCAGCUUUCGAUGGUAGUGUAUUGGACUACCAUGGCAGUAACGGGUAACGGAGAAUUAGGGUUCGAUUCCGGAGAGGGAGCCUGAGAAACGGCUACCACAUCCAAGGAAGGCAGCAGG